rnacentral:rRNA from 1 species
GACGAACGCUGGCGGCGUGCCUAAUACAUGCAAGUCGAACGCACUGGGGACGGGUGAGUAACACGUCGGUAACCUCCCAUCAGAGGGGAUACCACUUGGAAACAGGUGCUAAACCGAUACUCCUGGAUGGCCCCGCGGUGCCUUAGCUAGUUGGUGAGGUAACGGAUCACCAAGGCCACGAUGCAUAGCCGACGUGAGAGGGUGAUCGGCCACAGAGGGUGUGAGACACGGCCAAGACGCCUACGAGAGGCAGCAGUAGGAAAUAUUCGGAAAUGGACGAAAGUCUGACCACACAACGCCGCGUGAGUGAAGAAGGUUGUCGGCUCGUAAACCUCUGUUGUUAGAGAAGCGGUGUCUAACCAGACAGCCACGGCUAACUACGUGACAGCCGCCGCGGUAAUAC